UGGCUUCCCUAGAAUUCUGGAACAGGGAGAUGAGGGAAAUAUUGAUCCCACCCCUGGCCUUAUCCUGCUGGCACAUCCGGUCUGGCCAACAAACAGAGGCAGAGGGGCCACACAACUCUCCAAAUAACAGGCGAGCCUUUCUACUCCACAUGUGCUACUCUAAGUACCAUCAUCAUGGUCUUCACUGGGUGGCUUCCAGAGCUAAAUGCCUUCACAGCUUGAGCUAAAGAAUCAAACUAUGAGCUUUUACAGACUCACUCUCUCUGUAGACCAAGCACAGAGAGAGACGCACAACUCAGACUGAACAAUGUGCACCUCUACUAUAACUAGGCGUAUUCGGAUGAGGUGACUGCUCAAUAUGAAAACAAAUAAUAAUCCAGAAGUGAACAAUGAAGCAAUGAAGAAGUUAAUUGAAGUGCAAAUGGGAGAAUGUCUAACCAAUUAACUAGAAACUUGAGGAAUUCUUCUACAGAAUGCUAGAUAUGGAGGAAAAAAUAAUUACUAUGGAA